AUACGGAGGGUGCGAGCGUUAAUCGGAAUUACUGGGCGUAAAGCGUACGUAGGCGGUUGGUUAAGUUAGAUGUGAAAGCCCCGGGCUUAACCUGGGAACUGCAUUUAAAACUGGCGAACUAGAGUUGAGUAGAGGGGAGUGGAAUUUCAGGUGUAGCGGUGAAAUGCGUAGAGAUCUGAAGGAACACCAGUGGCGAAGGCGACUUCCUGGACUCAAACUGACGCUGAGGUACGAAAGCGUGGGUAGCAAACGGGAUUAGAAACCCCAGUAGUCC
rnacentral:rRNA from 1 species